UUGGGCGUAAGAGCUCGUAGGCGGUUUGUCGCGUCUGCUGUGAAAGCCCGGGGCUCAACCCCGGGUCUGCAGUGGGUACGGGCAGACUAGAGUGCAGUAGGGGAGACUGGAAUUCCUGGUGUAGCGGUGAAAUGCGCAGAUAUCAGGAGGAACACCGAUGGCGAAGGCAGGUCUCUGGGCUGUAACUGACGCUGAGGAGCGAAAGCAUGGGGAGCGAACAGGAUUAGAUACCCUGGUAGUCCAUGCCGUAAACGUUGGGCACUAGGUGUGGGGGACAUUCCACGUUUUCCGCGCCGUAGCUAACGCAUUAAGUGCCCCGCCUGGGGAGUACGGCCGCAAGGCUAAAACUCAAAGGAAUUGACGGGGGCCCGCACAAGCGGCGGAGCAUGCGGAUUAAUUCGAUGCAACGCGAAGAACCUUACCAAGGCUUGACAUGAACCGGAAAGACCUGGAAACAGGUCCCCCACUUGUGGCCGGUUUACAGGUGGUGCAUGGUUGUCGUCAGCUCGUGUCGUGAGAUGUUGGGUUAAGUCCCGCAACGAGCGCAACCCUCGUUCUAUGUUGCCAGCGGGUUAUGCCGGGGACUCAUAGGAGACUGCCGGGGUCAACUCGGAGGAAGGUGGGGACGACGUCAAAUCAUCAUGCCCCUUAUGUCUUGGGCUUCACGCAUGCUACAAUGGCCGGUACAAAGGGUUGCGAUACUGUGAGGUGGAGCUAAUCCCAAAAAGCCGGUCUCAGUUCGGAUUGAGGUCUGCAACUCGACCUCAUGAAGUUGGAGUCGCUAGUAAUCGCAGAUCAGCAACGCUGCGGUGAAUACGUUCCCGGGCCUUGUACACACCGCCCGUCAAGUCACGAAAGUUGGUAACACCCGAAGCCGGUAGGCCUAACCUCCUUGUGGGAGGGAGCCGUCGAAGGUGGGACCGGCGAUUGGGACUAAGUCGUAACAAGGUAACCGUA
rnacentral:rRNA from 1 species